GGUGAGGAAUGUGGGGGAAACUGCCUGAUGGAGGGGGAUAACUACUGGAAACGGUAGCUAAUACCGCAUAAUGUCGCAAGACCAAAGUGGGGGACCUUCGGGCCUCAUGCCAUCAGAUGUGCCCAGAUGGGAUUAGCUAGUAGGGGGGGUAACGGCUCACCUAGGCGACGAUCCCUAGCUGGUCUGAGAGGAUGACCACCCACACUGGAACUGAGACACGGUCCACACUCCUACGGGAGGCAGCAGUGGGGAAUAUUGCACAAUGGGCGCAAGCCUGAUGCACCCAUGCCGCGUGUGUGAAGAAGGCCUUCGGGUUGUAAAGCACUUUCAGCGGGGAGGAAGGCGUUAAGGUUAAUAACCUUGGCGAUUGACGUUACCCGCAAAAGAAGCACCGGCUAACUCCGUGCCAGCAGCCGCGGUAAUACGGAGGGUGCAAGCGUUAAUCGGAAUUACUGGGCGUAAAGCGCACGCGGGCGGUCUGUCAAGUCAGAUGUGAAAUCCCCGGGCUCAACCUGGGAACUGCAUUCAAAACUGGCAGGCUAGAGUCUUGUAGAGGGGGGUAGAAUUCCAGGUGUAGCGGUGAUAUGCGUAGAGAUCUGGAGGAAUACCGGUGGCGAAGGCGGCCCCCCUGGACAAAGACUGACGCUCAGGUGCGAAAGCGUGGGGGAGCAAACAGGAUUAGAUACCUCUGGUAGUCCACGCCCGUAAACGAUGUCUAUUUGGAGGUUUGUGCCCUUGAGGCGUGGCUUUCCAGAGCUAACGCGUUAAAUCGACCCGCCGUGGGGAGAGUACGGCCCGCGAGGGAUAAAAACUUCAUAUUGUAUUUGGACGGGGCGCCCCGCCACAAGCGGGUGGGAGCAUGUUGGUUUUUAAUUUCGGAUGCCAGCGACGAAAGAACUCUCACCGCGUGGGUUCUUUUGGACUAUCCCACCAAGAAACCUUUUACCAGAAUGAUGGUCUUGUGG
rnacentral:rRNA from 1 species